rnacentral:rRNA from 1 species
GACGAACGCUGGCGGCGUGCUUAACACAUGCAAGUCGAACGGAAAGGCCCUGCUUUUGUGGGGUGCUCGAGUGGCGAACGGGUGAGUAACACGUGAGUAACCUGUCCCUGACUUUGGGAUAACUUCAGGAAACUGGGGCUAAUACCGGAUAGGAGCUCCUGCUGCAUGGUGGGGGUUGGUAAGUUUCGGCGGUUGGGGAUGGACUCGCGGCGUAUUAGCUUGUUGGUGGGGUAGUGGCAUACCAAGGCUUUGACGGGUAGCCGGGCUGGGAGGAUGACCGGCCACAUUGGGACUGAGAUGCGGCCCAGACUCCUACGGGAGGCAGCAGUGGGGAAUAGUGCACAAUGGGCGGAAGCCUGAUGCAACAACGCCGCGUGCGGGAUGACGGCAUUCGGGUUGUAAACCGCUUUCGCCUGUGACGAAGCGUGAGUGACGGUAAUGGGUGAAGAAGCACCGGCUAACUACGUG